rnacentral:lncRNA from 1 species
GGUAAAGUAACAGUACUUCAAUUAAAAAAGCAUAAUGCUGUCGCAAAUAUUCACACACAGUCUUGGUGUGAGCAUGUGCCUUCAUUUCUCUUGGGUGGAUACGCAGGAGUGGGACCGCUGGGCCAUAUGUUCAUAUACCCUGUAUUAAACAUUUUAAGAAAAUGCACAACUGUUUUACAGUCUCACCAGCAAUGUAUGGCUUUCCAGUUUCUCCACAACCUCUCCCAAACUUGUUACUAUAUAUCUUUUUAGUUGUAGUCAUCCUAGUGGGUGUAAAGUAUUAUUUCAUUUUGGCGCAGUCGGCCCCUUGAUCUGUGGGUUCCACAUCUGUGCACACAGAGGGCCGGCUGCACUAUGCCAUGUUACAUAAGCCCUUGAGCAUUCUGGGAUUUUGGUGUCCGCAGGGGUCCUCGGACAAAUCCCCCACAGACACAGAGGGGCGACUCUAUUGAUUUGCAUUUCCCUCCUUGCUAAUGAUGUUGAGCAUCCUUUCCUGUGCUUACUAUUCAUCUAUCUUUUGGUGAAAAGUCUAUUUAAAUCUUUUGCCCGUUUUUGUAUCAGGUUAUUUGUCUUAUUAUUGAGUUGGAAUAAUUCUUUGUUUAUUCUGGUGUAUUCAUUUUAUAUGGCUGCUGUAAAAAUUACCACAGGAGUUCCUGUUGUGUCUCAGUGGUAACGAAUCUGACUAGUAUCCAUGAGGAUGCAGGUCAGAGACUAUUUCUAGGUUGUGGUCAGAAAAAGAUGUGAUAAUGGGAGAAUAGCCAUUGCUGGCUUUGAAGGUAGAAGAAGGGGCCACAUGCCAGGAAAUGCAGAUAACCUCUGGAAGCUGGAAAAGAAGGAAAUCGAUUAUUCCCUAGAGCCUGCCAAAAAACACAAAGGCUUUUGCUCAGUGAAACCUUUGUCACACUUCUGACCUAUGGAAGUAUAAAAUGAUUAAAUUUGUGGUUUUUUAAGCUACUAAAUUUUUGGUGAUUUUUAUUUUUUUAUUUUUUUUAGGGCUGCACCUGAGGCAUAUGGAAGUUCCCAGGCUAGGGAUUGAAUCAGAGCUGUAGCUGCUGGUCUAUACCACAGCUACAGCAAUGCAGGUUCUGAGUUGUGUCUGCGACUACACCACAGCUCACGGCAACUCCACUGAGUGAGGCCAGGUGUUAAACCUGCAUCCUCAUGGAUACUAGUCUCUGAUUUUAAAGAAUCAUGUGAUUAGAUUAAGGUCACCUGGAUCGUCCAGGAUACUCUCACCAUCUAAGGGCCUUCACCUUAAUUACAUCUGCAAACUUUCUUUUGCCACAUAAGGUAACAUAUUCACAGGAUUUAGGGUUCCGGACGUGGGCAUCUUUGCACGGUCACAUAAGGACACAAGUUGCUUGUCAGAUAUAUGAUUUGUAAAUAUAUUUACAUAUUUUCUCCCAACCUGUGGCUGAUCUUUUCAUUUUUUUGCAUCUUUUGAAAAGUGUUUUAAUUUUGAAGUCCGCCUUACCAAUUUUUUUUAUCAUUUUGUGCUUUUGCUAUCAUAGCUAAAACAACAUUGCCUAACUCAAGGUCAGAAAGAUUUACUCUCAUGGAUUUCUUCUAAGAGUUUUAUAAUUUUAGUUUUUACAUUUAUAUCCAUGAUGGAUUUUGAUUUAAUUUUUAUGUGACAAUGUGCAUUAAAGGUACAGAUUUAUUCUUUUACACCUGAAUAUCCAAUUGUCCCAACACCAUUUGUUGAAGAAACGGUUCUUUCCCCAUUGAUUUAUCUUGGCAUCUUUGCCAAAAUCAAUUGCCCAUGACCAUAGAGGUUUAUUCCUGGAUUCAACUCUAUUCCGAAGAUCUAUAUGUCUAUCUUUGCCUGUACCAUGCCGUCUUGACUACUGUGGUCAUGUCGUAAGUUUUGAAAUUGGUAAAUGUAAAGCCUCUAAUUUGAUCCUUUUUCAAGACUGGUUUGGCUAGUCUGGGUCCACUGGGUUUUCAUAUGAAUUCAAUAUGUUGUGCCCCUGAUUCCUUUGUCUGUCACCCAUAGAGGCCUCUGGUUGUAUCCAUCUUGUCCAUCGCCCAACACAUUAAAGCAAAUAGUACCCUAUUCUGAUCUUCAGUGGAGACCUCCAGGGAAGACCCUAUAAAUCCCCAGCAGUAGUGUUCGUUACCUGGCAAAGUGGAGAUCCAUCUGAGAGAUGAAGAAGAGGCCACCUCAAGUCUAUAGGAUCAAGGCUCAGAUCUUUCAUUCUGGGUCCCUUUUCCCAACCUACAGUGAGGAACUGUACUCCCUCUGUCUAUCCCUUUGCUUUACUUUGAGGUGUAUAUGCUGUAUUCCAUUGGUAGUGCUUGGGGCCAGAUUCAUUCACUUAUUUAUUCAUCACAUGUCAAACAUUUGCUUAAUGCCUGAUUUCAGGGGAUGAUAGGAAAAGUCAGCACAAGUUUUGGCAAAGACAAUAGUCAAUCUUUUGUAGAGGCAACCAAAGUCAGUCCUAAUAGGUCCUGUUACUUUGGGCCAUGGACUGUUAAACAGAGCUAGAGAAACUGUCUUUGGGCCUAGAACAGAGUCUGUAACUUUUAUUUCCAAUCAACCAGUCUUGGCUUCAGUGCUCUACUUCUUCUAUACUUGAGGCAAUUGGAAACCUCAGACUGGGGUAAGAAAGGCCCCCUAAGUCUUCUGGCUUAUAGUGGCAUUUUAGCCAGGGAAGUGAGAAAUCCUUUUCUUAGACAUUUCAUACUUAACAGGUAUAUUUGAGAGACACCUAGGGGGAUGAGGCUUCUGGGUUGUAAUCUGUCUUCAGCUGAAUUUCUUACUUCCUGCCUCCCAUUGUAGGAAAUUGAGCUUGAAGUAGAGAAUGUGGCUUUUCCAACUCUGCAAGGCUCAUUAUUAAUUGCCAGACACCUGUGGAAUGUAUGUUGCAGACCACAAACACAAAAAGAUCUCUCUUAGCAAAUCCAUAUUUUCUUCUCUAUAGUUGUUUCUAGGUGAGUCAGUUUUAAGCCUUAGUGGAGGCUUCAAAAGUUAGCCUUGGAGUUCCUGCUGUGGCUCAGCAGGUUAAGAACCUGACGUUGGCUCUGUGAGGACACAGGUUCAAUCCCUGGCCUCGCUCAGUAGGUUAAGGAUCUAGCAUCACUGCAAGCUACAGCAUCAGUCACAGAUGUGGCUCAGAUCUGGUUUGCCAUGGCUAUGGUGUAGGCCUGCAGCUCUAGCUCCCACUUGACCCCUAGCCUGGGAACUUCUAUAUGCCAGAGACAUGGCUGUAAAAAGAAAAAAAUAGUUAGCUUUCACUCUAUAACAUCUUGGAUUUUUGCCAAGGGAAUUCUGGGAUGCUGAGAACUUGGAAAAUAGAUGGUAUGAGGCUUAAGAUUAAAAAAAAAAAAAAAUCAUUUCAUCAGCUGUUUGCAGCCUCAGAACAAGGUUUACCAACCUCCUGGCCUAGAAUAGUGGGGCCUUCGUUUCCCAGCUCUUUACUUCUUCAGCCCAGUUAAUUCAUAUCCUGCUGGUGCCUCAUUCUAUUUCUGUUCUCAGAAACAGAAAACUCAUGUUGAACCAGCUUAAACAAGUCAGAAGAUAUAUUGCUUACAAAACUGAAGUCCAGGGCUGAUGGAAGACUUCAGGAUACCUCAGUUCAGGAACUCAACACUGUUUAUUCUGCUCUUUCUCUCUCUCUCUUUUUUUUUUUUCUUUUACUCUAUCUAGUUAUGUGGAGGGUUUCUUUCCCUUUUUGGAGGUUUAAGUUCUUCUGCCAGCGUUCAGUAGAUGUUCUGUGCAAAUCCUUCUACAUGUAGAUGUGUUUUUUUGAUGUGUUUGUAGGAGAAGGUGAGUGCGACGUCUUACUCCUCUGCCAUCUCGAUCCUUCUCCUCCACUAUUUAUUUCUAAAACCUUUCAUUUCUCUGAUCGACCAGCCAUGGUCUUGGCCUCCCCACAAGGAUUCCUUUAGAGUUACAAGACAGCUGUAAUUAUCUUAAGAUGUCAUAGGACUUGUGCCUAGACAGUUUUGAAAACUAGUGAUGCCUGAAUCCUGUCCCUAGAGAUUCUGAUUUAAUUGGUCUGGGUGUGCUUCCAAAGUUGAGAAUCAAGACUAAUCUAAGUGAAAAAAAUAUAAGAAGUGUAAAUCUAAAGCAACUGGUACUGAACAGUAGAUCAGAACAGUUUGGGAUUUCCUGCGUUUCAUUGAAUCUGAGAUGACAGUGAUAGAAAGAUUACUUUAUGUACCACGAAGAAAGAAAAAAUGCUACCAUUUAAACUACAGCCCUCCACCAAUUGUCAUCUGUAUCCUGAUUUCAGAGAUAAAGUGUGAGGAUAAAACUGUCUCUGAAUCCAUGAAAUAAGGAAUGUAUCUGAAAGAGAACUGCUGUUUAAAGUAGUCAUCUUAGGAGGAAGAGUUUUAUACUGAUUCCUUUGAAGUUACUCCAAUCAGAACACCUGUGGAAUGUUUUGCUUUGUCUUCAGAACCCAUUUUCUAUUUAUACAAGAAAAUCAUAGCAUGUUGGCACUGGAGGCGACAUUAGAGGCCAUCUAGACCAACCCCUGGAUCGAUUUAAUUAUAGUUGCACCUUGUUCGAGACUAAAUAUGGUAUUUUCCAGCCUUAAUCUAUCACUCUGUUCACCAUUCCUGGCUCUGAAUAGUUUUGGGUUCUCUCCAACAAGCAAAUCCAGCCUCUGAGGAUGAAGAUUUGCCACCAAUGAGGCAGAUUUCAAGUAACAUGGAACAGGUUCUUCUGGUAGGUCCCAGAAUGGGCACCGUGUGAUGGGGUAAGUAAUGGAACGACCUUUGAAAUAAGGUCUUACUCUCAUUUUGAUGUUUAUGUUGUAUUAUGUCGAGACCAGUCACAUGACCAAGCUUUUGUUCCCCAGAGUGAAGGUGCCAGAAGUGGGACUUUGGGGCACCCCAAAUGAUAUCCACCCCAUACUUCCUGACUUUUCUUCAGAUACAGGAAACCCAGUGGUGACUGGAAGGGAAAACCUCAAACAAAGGGCGACCUGGUACAUAGCUUGCAACCCCAUCAGAGGGAAACCAGCAAGGAUGCUUUUUGCCAUUUUGCUGAGAGUGAAAUGAAGACCUGGAGAGAGUAGGCUGGGCCAGGAUCACAGUAGAUUGGCAUUAAGCCCAAGGCAGCAUGAGGGCUCUUGCCUCCCCCACCAGGGCACCCCCCAACCAGCCUGUGCGUCCUCUUUUCUUUUUAACACCUCACAGCACUUAUGCAGCUCAGGGUUUGAGCUGGGGCUGGAGCUGGAAGUCAGGCAGCAGGCCAAGGAAGAGGGUUGGUCUCAGCACGCUCGGCCUGCCCAUCGGUCCAUGCUGAUCGGGAGCAUUUACAGCUCCGGCACAGUGCACCGGAUCUAGGAUCAAUGGUGAAUUAAAGCCUUGCUCUGGGGUCUCCAGGCAGCUGUUCACAUCACAUAUUUUUUCCCAUUUGUAAUUCAGGCAAGUUGAUGGACUUCGAUAUAAUGGUUUAUGAUGGGGGUGUGGCUGAGCAGUGAUUUUUUGCAAAUCCUCACCUGAGGAAAAUGGGCUAGAGGUGGCUCUCCUGAAAACCUUUCACAAUAGUGUGCAACGACCACGGGAGAGAAGAGGAGAGCUCUGAGGGGGGUAGCAGUGCCUGGGCUCGACUUCUUCCAUCUGACACCAACACAGGGUGGACUCUGGCCAGUGCUCCCUCUGCUCACCCAGCCUCCCUCCUCCUUGACCUUCUUUACAGCUCUUUUAUCAGCAUCAUCAUCCAGUCCUUUUCUUCAUCAUAGAAGGACAUUUUAUCGUAAAGUUUAUAAUAAGGCACCUUAAUUUGCAUUCCUGAUAAACUUCCAGGUAAUGAUAUUGCUGCCACUCUGGGGACCUCAGGUGGGUGGCAUUGGUCUAAGACAACAGAUCUCCCAAGUGUGGUCCCUGGGCCAGCAUCGUCAGCAUCAUCUAGGAACUUGUUAGAAAUGCAUAUUCUCAGGGCAAGUCCCACCACUCAUUGUUUUAAUAAGCCUUCCUAUUGGUCAAAUACAAGCUAAGUGAUGUCCUAGUGCUUUGCAGGCCUGGUUUCAUUUUAGAAUCACCUGGUGAGUUUUAAAAACCAGGGGCUCUCCCUACCAUCACUAGACUCCUGAUCUCCAGGCUCACUUGGGCAAGUAUAGCCGAAAAUGCUUUCCAACUGAUCCUGAUGCAUCAUGAAGGUUCAAGCUCAAGGAACACGUCUGACAGCUUACUGAUUAGAAACACCUUCAGAGAAGAGAUGAGGCUUGUCAGAGUCACACAGCCUUUCCAGAGCCCCUAGUUCCCUCCCCCUGGAGUUGCCAGUGUUUCUGGGUACAUGAGGGGCUCAGUGGCUCCUAGCCUGCACCGUCAGGCAGCGCCUGCCCUUGCUGUCAGCACAAUGACCUGUUUUUCUGGACUCUGUGCUCUUCAGCCCUGCCUACCUGCGUGCAGAUAAAACACCGUCAAAAGAGGCUUGUUCCCACGGAGACAUCACUCUGCGUCUGGGCUUUCCCGAGCCCAGCGGUGAGGUUCUAGGAAGUCGGGGCUGGCAGGGGACAUUCACUGACCAUUCAUUCUUAAGUUUCCCAAAGCCAGUUCUUCCUCUAAGGGUCAGGCUGGGAUAUUGUCCCAUUCCUUUGAUGAAGGCUUUGAAGCUGGGAGUUGCCCACUCCUCCCCAAGCUCACUGCCCUCCCCUUGCCCUCAGGACGUUCCAGGAGGUCAUGGUCUCACUCUUGCCCAAGAUCACCUGUCUCAGCAGUCUUCCAGCCAGGACUGAAGCGGCACAGCAGAGAAGACAGGCAGAAUUGGGAGUCAGGGCAUACGGGUUCCUAAAAAGGCAACUCUCUCACUUGGCUGAAGUUAAUCCCUAAAGCCAAAGUGCUCCCAAAUUGCUUCUUUUCAGAUUGAAAAUGAGUCAUUGUUGUUGGUCAUUUCUCCCCACCAAACAAUAGCUGAUUAGGCUUCUUAAUUAUGUUGAAUUUAGUCUUGUAUUUAAAACAGGUUCCCUAGGGCUCUUGGCUUGCUUCCAUCCCUUUUUCAUAUCCUACCAAGCAUGCUCCCCACUCAGGACCUUUCCCACUGCCUGUUUUUUUCUGCCUGGAGCCUUCUUGCUGCAAAUAUCUGCAUGGCUCACUCCCUCACCAACUUCAGAUUUAUUGUGCAAAUAGCUUGUCAAAAAGACCUUCCUUGGAGUUUCCGUUGUGGCUCAGCGGUUAACGAAUCUGACUAGCAUCCAUGAGGACACAGGUUCGAUCCCUGGCCUUGCUCAGUGGGUCAAGAAUCUGGCAUUGCUGUGAGCUGUGGUGUAGGUUGCAGAUGUGGCUCAGAUCCUGCAUUGCUGUGGCUGUGGUGUAGGCCUGCAGCUACAGCUCUGAUUCGACCCCUAGCCUGGGAAUCCCCAUAUGCUGUGGGUACGGCCCUAAAAAACAAAAGAAAAGAAAAGGAAAUAGCAAUCUUCCCCUGGGUUCCUUCUCCUUCUCUGCUUCAUUUUUCCGCAUUGCACUCAUCACCAUCUGGUAGGCUAUAUGUUUUGCUUUUUUAUUUGUUUAUUUUCUCUCUCCUCCCAUUGGAGCACAAACUUACAAGGAAGGGGAGUUUUUUUUUGGUCUGUUAUACUUACUACUAUAUCCCCAAUGCACCAAAUAUGUUUGAUAUGUAGUGUAUGCUCAAUAAAUAUUUGUCACAUGAAUUAUAAAUUCUUCACUCUCAAAAAAAAAAGGGGGGGGGAGUUCCCGUCGUGGAGCAGUGGUUAACGAAUCCGACUAGGAACCAUGAGGUUGCGGGUUCGGUCCCUGCCCUUGCUCAGUGGGUUAAGGAUCCGGCGUUGCCGUGAGCUGUGGUGUAGGUUGCAGACGCAGCUCGGAUCCCGCGUUGCUGUGGCUCUGGCGUAGGCCGGUGGCUACAGCUCCGAUUCGACCCCUAGCCUGGGAACCUCCAUAUGCCAUGGGAGUGGCCCAAAGAAAUAGCAAAAGACAGAAAAAAAAAAAAAAA